AUACGAAGGGGGCAAGCGUUGUUCGGAAUAACUGGGCGUAAAGCGCACGUAGGCGGAAUGUUAAGUUAGAGGUGAAAUCCCAGGGCUCAACCCUGGAACUGCCUUUAAUACUGGCAAUCUAGAGACCGAGAGAGGUGAGUGGAAUUCCGAGUGUAGAGGUGAAAUUCGUAGAUAUUAGGAGGAACACCAGUGGCGAAGGCGGCUCACUGGCUCGGUACUGACGCUCAGGUGCGAAAGCGUGGGGAGCAAACAGGAUUAGAAACCCUUGUAGUCC
rnacentral:rRNA from 1 species